rnacentral:rRNA from 1 species
GACGAACGCUGGCGGCGUGCCUAAUACAUGCAAGUAGGACGCAGUUGCGAACGGGUGAGUAACGCGUAGGUAACUACCUAUUAGAGGGGGAUAACAAUUGGAAACGAUAGCUAAUACCGCAUACUAGUAGAUGGACCUGCGUUGUAUUAGCUAGUAGGUAGGCUAAUGGCCUACCUAGGCAAAGAUACAUAGCCGAGCUGAGAGGGUGAUCGGCCACACUGGUACUUGGACACGGCCCAGACCCCUUCGGGAGGCCGCAGUAGGGAAUCUUCGGCAAUUGGGGGAACCCUGACCGAGCAACGCCGCGGUAGUGAAUAAGGUUUUCGGAUCGUAAAGCUCUGUUGUUAAGGAAGCGGUACUUGACCAGAAAGGGACGGCUAACUACGUGCCAGCCGCCGCGGUAAUUC